GGGGAAUUUUGGACAAUGGGCGAAAGCCUGAUCCAGCCAUGCCGCGUGAGUGAAGAAGGCCUUCGGGUUGUAAAGCUCUUUUAGUCGGAAAGAAAGAGUUGCAAUGAAUAAUUGUGAUUUAUGACGGUACCGACAGAAAAAGCACCGGCUAACUACGUGCCAGCAGCCGCGGUAAUACGUAGGGUGCGAGCGUUAAUCGGAAUUACUGGGCGUAAAGGGUGCGCAGGCGGUCUUGCAAGUCAGAUGUGAAAGCCCCGGGCUUAACCUGGGAAUUGCGUUUGAAACUACAAAGCUAGAGUGCAGCAGAGGGGAGUGGAAUUCCAUGUGUAGCAGUGGAAUGCGUAGAGAUGUGGAAGAACACCGAUGGCGAAGGCAGCUCCCUGGGUUGACACUGACGCUCAUGCACGAAAGCGUGGGGAGCAAACA
rnacentral:rRNA from 1 species